rnacentral:rRNA from 1 species
AUUGAACGCUGGCGGCAGCCCUAACACAUGCAAGUCGAGCGGAUGAAGGGAGCUUGCUCCUGGAUUCAGCGGCGGACGGGUGAGUAAUGCCUAGGAAUCUGCCUGGUAGUGGGGGAUAACGUCCGGAAACGGGCGCUAAUACCGCAUACGUCCUGAGGGAGAAAGUGGGGGAUCUUCGGACCUCACGCUAUCAGAUGAGCCUAGGUCGGAUUAGCUAGUUGGUGGGGUAAAGGCCUACCAAGGCGACGAUCCGUAACUGGUCUGAGAGGAUGAUCAGUCACACUGGAACUGAGACACGGUCCAGACUCCUACGGGAGGCAGCAGUGGGGAAUAUUGGACAAAGGGCGAAAGCCUGAUCCAGCCAUGCCGCGUGUGUGAAGAAGGUCUUCGGAUUGUAAAGCACUUUAAGUUGGGAGGAAGGGCAGUAAGUUAAUACCUUGCUGUUUUGACGUUACCAACAGAAUAAGCACCGGCUAACUUCGUG